rnacentral:lncRNA from 1 species
AUAAGCGCGGAGGAGUGAAAGGUUAAAUUUUCUUCAUUUAGCUACAGAGGAAAUUUAAGCCUUUGGUUGUGUCAAUUCAGCCUUUCAAGGGCUAUGAUAACAAAGCUAUUUUUAUUCCUUUCCCUCUCCUCAUCCGCUGCUCAAAAUAUCCCAGCCGGCCGAACGCGUUCACAUUUUCUGCUUCAUAGAACUUGGUGAAAAAGAGACAGAAGCGUCAGCCCUGCUCUGUUUUCCAGUCAGUCCGUGCAGGAGCAAAGCCUCUGUUGGUCACUUUCUAUCUGUGGCAUGGCUGAAGGUAAUUAAGCCCUUUAAACAACUUGGCAAUUUGUUUCUGAUGGCCACAGGAGAGCUGCCCAGCCUGUUGAAGUUGGUUUAUGAGGUCUAACCCGUACUCGUGGGGCGCUCACACACAGCGCUGUCAGUGCCCGAUUGGUCGCAGAGCAUUGGUUGCUUCCCUCAGUCUGUGCCCUCCUCCUGCACAAAAGCUUCAGCUUAUCAACAUUGGUGCCACCUUAUGCAGCACUGCAUGCAGUCAGUGCCGCGUUGGCCAUCUCCUGCUGGGGAGGGAAGCGUCCGUCACUUGUUCCUUUUAUCUGCUGGCCUGAGGAGAAAAACGGGAAGGCAGCAAUGUGAACUAUUGAGUGUUUGCCUUUAGAUAAAAUCCUUCUGCUCCCUUUGUCCUUUGAAAUGUUCCAGAUUGGGUAAAGCAAUUUUCUGAGCGAACUGACUGCGGUAAUUUGAAUUGAAUGGUAAUUGCUUUCUCUAUCCUUCCCAAAUGUCCUUACUCCCCUGCAAAGUUUUCUGUCACUGAUGGACCUUUCCAAAAUCUCAUUUUUGGAAUUAAGUAGUGAAUAAUUUGUUUGGAAAUUCAUAUGCAAGACAGAAGUAAAUAGGCUGCACUAAUAAAGCUGUCAAAACCUGGGCAGCCCUGAUGGUUUCAAAGGAUUGGUUGUGCACACUCCCAUGUUUGUGAUGAUGUCCCACAGAACACUGAAUUGGAAAAAUGAAGUGGAAGAUUAUUUCAUUGCUGGCUCAGCAGCCAAAGCCCCAGCACAGGUUUUGUGUAAGGGCAGUAAGUGUCCCCAGGUUUAGUAAGGAGGACGGGGGGAGUUUGGCCAUGUGAGCAAAGCUCGGGGGGCUCUGAAUCAUUUCUGCCUGUUGUACAUUUCCAAGGACAGUGUAAGAAACUCUCCAAGAACCAAACACACCUUUUUCAGAGAGAAACGUGUUUGGUCUCCACACAAUUGUUGUGUUCAGGGAAAAUUC